rnacentral:rRNA from 1 species
GCCUGGCCCUAAAUCUUGAUACUUACCGUACCAAAGUAUCCGCCAGAGAACUACGAGCACAAACGCUUAAAACUCUAAGGACUUGGCGGUGCCCUAAACCCACCUAGAGGAGCCUGUUCUAUAAUCGAUAAUCCACGAUCAACCCAACCGCCCCUUGCCAAACACAGCCUACAUACCGCCGUCGCCAGCCCACCUCGAAUGAGAGCACAACAGUGGACACAACAGCACCUCGCUAAUAAGACAGGUCAAGGUAUAGCCUAUGGGACGGAAGAAAUGGGCUACAUUCCCUAUCCAUAGGGCAGUACGAAAAGAAGCAUGAAACUGCUUCUAGAAGGAGGAUUUAGCAGUAAAGUGAGAUAAUAGAGCCCACUUUAAGCCGGCCCUAGGGCACGU